rnacentral:rRNA from 1 species
CUUAACACAUGCAAGUCGAGGGGCAGCAUGGUCUUAGCUUGCUAAGGCCGAUGGCGACCGGCGCACGGGUGAGUAACACGUAUCCAACCUGCCGUCUACUCUUGGACAGCCUUCUGAAAGGAAGAUUAAUACAAGAUGGCAUCAUGAGUCCGCAUGUUCACAUGAUUAAAGGUAUUCCGGUAGACGAUGGGGAUGCGUUCCAUUAGAUAGUAGGCGGGGUAACGGCCCACCUAGUCUUCGAUGGAUAGGGGUUCUGAGAGGAAGGUCCCCCACAUUGGAACUGAGACACGGUCCAAACUCCUACGGGAGGCAGCAGUGAGGAAUAUUGGUCAAUGGGCGAGAGCCUGAACCAGCCAAGUAGCGUGAAGGAUGACUGCCCUAUGGGUUGUAAACUUCUUUUAUAAAGGAAUAAAGUCGGGUAUGGAUACCCGUUUGCAUGUACUUUAUGAAUAAGGAUCGGCUAACUCCGUGCCAGCAGCCGCGGUAAUACGGAGGAUCCGAGCGUUAUCCGGAUUUAUUGGGUUUAAAGGGAGCGUAGAUGGAUGUUUAAGUCAGUUGUGAAAGUUUGCGGCUCAACCGUAAAAUUGCAGUUGAUACUGGAUAUCUUGAGUGCAGUUGAGGCAGGCGGAAUUCGUGGUGUAGCGGUGAAAUGCUUAGAUAUCACGAAGAACUCCGAUUGCGAAGGCAGCCUGCUAAGCUGCAACUGACAUUGAGGCUCGAAAGUGUGGGUAUCAAACAGGAUUAGAUACCCUGGUAGUCCACACGGUAAACGAUGAAUACUCGCUGUUUGCGAUAUACUGCAAGCGGCCAAGCGAAAGCGUUAAGUAUUCCACCUGGGGAGUACGCCGGCAACGGUGAAACUCAAAGGAAUUGACGGGGGCCCGCACAAGCGGAGGAACAUGUGGUUUAAUUCGAUGAUACGCGAGGAACCUUACCCGGGCUUAAAUUGCAGAUGAAUUACGGUGAAAGCCGUAAGCCGCAAGGCAUCUGUGAAGGUGCUGCAUGGUUGUCGUCAGCUCGUGCCGUGAGGUGUCGGCUUAAGUGCCAUAACGAGCGCAACCCUUGUUGUCAGUUACUAACAGGUUCUGCUGAGGACUCUGACAAGACUGCCAUCGUAAGAUGUGAGGAAGGUGGGGAUGACGUCAAAUCAGCACGGCCCUUACGUCCGGGGCUACACACGUGUUACAAUGGGGGGUACAGAGGGCCGCUACCACGCGAGUGGAUGCCAAUCCCCAAAACCUCUCUCAGUUCGGACUGGAGUCUGCAACCCGACUCCACGAAGCUGGAUUCGCUAGUAAUCGCGCAUCAGCCACGGCGCGGUGAAUACGUUCCCGGGCCUUGUACACACCGCCCGUCAAGCCAUGGGAGCCGGGGGUACCUGAAGUGCGUAACCGCGAGGAGCGCCCUAGGGUAAAACUGGUGACUGGGGCUAAGUCA